rnacentral:rRNA from 1 species
UACGUAGGGUGCGAGCGUUGUCCGGAAUUAUUGGGCGUAAAGGGCUCGUAGGCGGUCUGUUGCGUCGGGAGUGAAAAACUCAGGGCUUAACCCUGAGCCUGCUUCCGAUACGGGCAGACUAGAGGUAUGCAGGGGAGAACGGAAUUCCUGGUGUAGCGGUGAAAUGCGCAGAUAUCAGGAGGAACACCGGUGGCGAAGGCGGUUCUCUGGGCAUUACCUGACGCUGAGGAGCGAAAGUGUGGGGGAGCGAACAGG